AGGACGAACGCUGGCGGCGUGCCUAAUACAUGCAAGUCGAACGGUCUUUCUAUGGAAGCUUGCUUCCACUGAGAAGAUAGUGGCGAACGGGUGAGUAACACGUGGGUAACCUGCCCAUAAGAGGGGGAUAACAUCCGGAAACGGGUGCUAAUACCGCAUAGUUUUCUUGAUCGCAUGAUUGAGAAAGGAAAGACGGCCUUUGUGCUGUCGCUUAUGGAUGGACCCGCGGCGUAUUAGUUAGUUGGUGAGGUAACGGCUCACCAAGACGAUGAUACGUAGCCGACCUGAGAGGGUGAUCGGCCACAUUGGGACUGAGACACGGCCCAAACUCCUGCGGGAGGCAGCAGUAGGGAAUCUUCCGCAAUGGACGAAAGUCUGACGGAGCAACGCCGCGUGAGUGAAGAAAGGUUUUCGGAUCGUAAAACUCUGUUGUCAGAGAAGAACAAGUUGGAGAGUAACUGCUCCAGCCUUGACGGUAUCUGACCAGAAAGCCACGGCUAACUACGUGCCAGCCGCAGC
rnacentral:rRNA from 1 species